rnacentral:rRNA from 1 species
UCAGCUCGUGUCGUGAGAUGUAGGGUUAAGUCCCGCGACGAGCGCAACCCUUGUCUUUAAUUGCCAUCAUUGAGUUGGGCACUUUAAAGAGACUGCCGGUGUUAAACCGGAGGAAGGUGGGGAUGACGUCAAGUCCUCAUGGCCCUUAUAGGUGGGGCUACACACGUCAUACAAUGGCUGGUACAAAGGGUUGCCAACCCGCGAGGGGGGAGGCCAAUCCCAUAAAGCCAGUCGUAGUCCGGAUCGCAGUCUGCAACUCGACUGCGUGAAGUCGGAAUCGCUAGUAAUCGUGGAUCAGCAUGUCACGGUGAAUACGUUCCCGGGUCUU